rnacentral:rRNA from 1 species
GACGAACGCUGGCGGCGUGCUUAACACAUGCAAGUCGAACGGAAAGGCCCCUUUGGGGGUACUCGAGUGGCGAACGGGUGAGUAACACGUGAGUAACCUGCCCUUGACUUCGGGAUAACUUCAGGAAACUGGGGCUAAUACCGGAUAGGAAUCCUUGCUGCAUGGUGGGGGUUGGAAAGCUUCGGCGGUUUUGGAUGGACUCGCGGCUUAUCAGCUUGUUGGUGGGGUAGUGGCUUACCAAGGCUUUGACGGGUAGCCGGCCUGAGAGGGCGACCGGCCACAUUGGGUCUGAGAUACGGCCCAGACUCCUACGGGAGGCAGCAGUGGGGAAUAUUGCACAAUGGGCGGAAGCCUGAUGCAGCAACGCCGCGUGCGGGAUGACGGCCUUCGGGUUGUAAACCGCUUUCAGCAGGGGCGAAGCUUGUGGUGACGGUACCUGCAGAAGAAGCACCGGCUAACUACGUG